rnacentral:tRNA from 1 species
GGUGGCUCAGUGGUAGAGUGCUUGCCUUGCAUGCAAGAGGCCCUGAGUUCGAUUCCUCAGCACCA